AUACUUACCUGGCAGGGGAAAUACCACGAUCACGUAGGUGGUUUUCUCAGGGUGAGGCCCACCCAUUUGCACUUGGGGUGCGCUGACCUCUGCGAUUUCUCCACAUAGGAGAAACUCGGCUGCAUAAUUUGUGGUAGUGGGGGACUGCGUGCGCGCUCUGCCCUG